rnacentral:rRNA from 1 species
AACGAACGCCAGCGGCAUGGAUUAGGCAUGCAAGUUGAACGAACACUUCGGUGUGAGUAGCGAAAGGGUGAGGAAUACGUGAGUAAUCUGCCUCCAAGUUGGGAAUAACAGUUGGAAACGGCUGCUAAUACCGAAUGUGGCUGUUUGAUCGCAUGGUUGAAUGGCUAAAGAUUUAUCGCUUGGAGAUGAGCUCGCGUCCCAUUAGGUAGUUGGUGAGGUAAUGGCUCACCAAGCCGAUGAUGGGUAGCUGGUCUGAGAGGAUGGUCAGCCACACUGGGACUGAGACACUGCCCAGACUCCUACGGGAGGCUGCAGUCGAGAAUCUUGGGCAAUGCGCGAAAGCGUGACCCAGCAAUGCCGCGUGUAUGAUGAAGGUCUUCGGAUCGUAAAAUACUGUCUCCCGUGACGAUAAUGACGGUAGCGGGGAAGGAAGCCACGGCUAACUACGUGCCAGCCGCCGCAGUAACAC